rnacentral:rRNA from 1 species
ACGUAGGGUCCAAGCGUUGUCCGGAUUUACUGGGCGUAAAGAGCACGUAGGCGGCUUGUUAAGUGUGAAGUGAAAUCUCCAGGGCUCAACCCGGAAACCGCUUCGCAUACUGGCAAGCUAGAGGAAUGCAGAGGUAAGUGGAAUUCCUGGUGUAGCGGUGAAAUGCAUAGAUAUCAGGAGGAACACCCAUGGCGAAGGCAGCUUACUGGGCAUUAUCUGACGCUGAGGUGCGAAAGCGUGGGGAGCAAACAGGA